rnacentral:rRNA from 1 species
CCUACGGCGGCUGCAGUGGGGAAUAUUGGACAAUGGGCGAAAGCCUGAUCCAGCCAUGCCGCGUGUGUGAAGAAGGCCUUCGGGUUGUAAUGCACUUUCAGUGGGGAAGAAAGCCUUGGGGCUAAUACCCUCGAGGAAGGACAUCACCCACAGAAGAAGCACCGGCUAACUCCGUGCCAGCAGCCGCGGUAAUACGGAGGGUGCGAGCGUUAAUCGGAAUUACUGGGCGUAAAGCGCGCGUAGGCGGUCUGAUAAGCCGGUUGUGAAAGCCCCGGGCUCAACCUGGGAACGGCAUCCGGAACUGUCAGGCUAGAGUGCAGGAGAGGAAGGUAGAAUUCCCGGUGUAGCGGUGAAAUGCGUAGAGAUCGGGAGGAAUACCAGUGGCGAAGGCGGCCUUCUGGACUGACACUGACGCUGAGGUGCGAAAGCGUGGGUAGCAAACAGGAUUAGAUACCCUAGUAGUC